rnacentral:lncRNA from 1 species
UUCUCGUUUAGACCAACGCUUUGAAACCGACGGAAUUUGGUGCUAGAGGUUUAUCGAUUGCUACCGUAUACUUUGAUUUUUUGUUUAUUGCUAUAUUUUCUAUAGUUGUUUCGUCAUCUAUGAAAGGUAUCAGAAGUUUUUCUGCAGGUUUCAAUUCAGAAUAAGAUGGCAUUGUUUCGUCGCAGGCGCUGAGUUGUGAUGUUUCCUGGUGGUAGACAAUCGACGAGCCCUAAUCUUUCAUAACUUGGAAUCUUGGGAUAUUGGAUUUAGUUUGUAAGGGUUUGUAAUUUGGGGUUGGGGAAAAGGGGUUCUGUUAUGGGUAGACAGUUGGGGAAAAGGGAUUCUGUUAUGAUCUGAUACGGCCUUUGCCAUGACAGGUGCGCUUGCAUGGCAGGUCAUCAAAAUUUUAAUAUAAUAAACGAUAUUUUUUGGUUUUGAGAGGAGAAAGCACGGGGCUUUUUAACCCGGGUUCUCUCCUCUGGUGGUGUGGUGUGUGGUUUUCCUGUGUCUGUUGCGAUUGGUGUCCAUUCCUUCCUUCUCCUCCUACAUAAUCAACAUCGUUACAACUACAAAAUCAGAAAUCAACAUAUAUGAAUAACCAAGGCUCUUAAUUCAGGGAAAAGGUACACGCAUUGUUAAUAUAUUGCCUUUAAUUUUUUUAAGCAUUAUUAAGACAAAUUUUGAUAUCCACUCAGAGUAAUAUAAGAUAAUUUUUAUCUAAUAGAAUUUAUAUUUUAUUAUUAUAAAAAUCUAUUGUGUGUUAACAUUGUAAAAUUGUGAUUCUUUGGUAUUUUUUGGCAUCAUUGGAUAAUCAUUUAGCAGAUUGCAAGACCAAUAGACCUGGUUAGCAAAAAGAGAUUUUGGUCUCUACAUAAUUGUUAUGUAUUCAUCCCUACCCCAAAAAGUUCCAUUUUUUUGCUCUCAUUGUUUAUUUCAAAAAGUGCAAUUGAUUUGGGUCCUAGAAUUAAAUGACAGACUUCUUUGAGUUUAUUACUAUAAUUUCAUUAUCAUGUUAAUAGCUCCUAAACUAAAACACGCAUGGAAAAAUUAAAUUUUAUAUAUUUGUAAAUUUUGUUAAAUUGAAACAAAUUUAUACUUUAUUAAAUUUGCUAGUGCCACUUUUUGUGAUAGUGAGCAUAUAUUUUGCUCCUGUUUGAAUUUGAAGGGGUUAGUCAACUAGUGUUCAAAACUUGUGGUACUAACAAUUUAUUCUGGAACAUAAAGUUGUUAAUUAUGUUCUAUUUUUAAUGCCGUUAGACAUGAAUCUGAUAGGCCUUCGCAGAUGGAUGAAGGUGUGAAGGGAUAAAACUCUUCUGCAUCUCAAAAUGGUAGAAGGAAGAUUUGAAGCAUCCUUUCACAUGUUUUGUAUUGCAAUUUGCAAUCGAACUGAUUUUCAUGAUUAGGGGCCUCUGUCUCAUGUAUAAGUUUCAAGGUGCAGCAUUUAGUGGGGAAAAAGUAAGAUGGUUUACUCUUCUUUUGACCUUGUUAUAAAGUUUAGUUCCUACAAGCUUUAGCUAAAGCCUAAAAGUUCACAAUGAAAUUCCGUUACUUUGUUAUCUUAAAUACUAUGAUCUCUUAAAUUCCUUUAUUUUAAAUUUGACUAGGUAACAAAUUUUCUUGUGUUUUUAUUCUUCUAAGUAAUUAUUACGCACUUAUUAUAUCUGUCCACUUCUUUCCUGUAUAAUAUGUAUCUUUACAUACGUAUUAUGCAAGAAAAGAAUCAAUAUAUAUUUUUAAAAAGAGUCAUUUCCUAAAAUUUAAAUUAUCAGGUUGUUUGCUUCCUCCAUAUUUAGUUCGUUGGAGUCCCACUACUUUGUAAUGUCCAAAACUAAUGGACAAUCUCUGCCCUAGGAAUUCAGUUGUAGAUCUAACUGGUGCAGUUGUAUCUUGAGGUGUAAAUUUACAGUUUAUUAUAAUUCACAAUCCAUUACUACAUCAACUUAAAAAUACAUUUUGACUUUUUGUAGUUGUUUUGCAAAAAUCUAAAAUUUAAAAUACAUACGAAUUUAUUCGUUUAGAGUAUAAACAAAUAUAUCCAUUUUAAACUAACUAAAGAAGUUCUACUAAUCAAUAUAUUUGUUGUUUUAAGCCUUUAACAAUUAUACGUCAAUAUGUUGUAAAUUUGCUUCAAAAAGUCAAAAAUAUCUCUGAUUUUGGAUGGGAGGUAGUAUUUGGUAAGUUAAUUUUUGGCUUGUGCUGUCAGGUAGAAGAACCAUUGGGUGUAAAUGUUACUAUUAUGUUCUUUUUCUGAUUGUUUCUGCAGUUGAUAACUGUAUAUGAUUCUCUUGUCAGUUUCUUGAUUAAUUAGUUUUCAACUAUUUCAGAAUUAAAAUGGUUUCAUCUCUCAAAAGAUCACACUAUUAUAUAUAUAUAUAUAUAUAUAUAUGUAUAUAUAUAUUUCACCCAGCCUGUGAAUGAGAGUAUCUCGCAUGUUGCUGAGAUUCUGGAUUUUGAAUUUCCGUUCAUGGAGGUAAAAGUGGUUGAUGGCCAUGUUUUGCAG